rnacentral:misc_RNA from 1 species
GUAACUAUUAAAGUUUUUCUGACGCUGACUGCAAUUGCAAAAGGUUUAAAAAAGGUCCUACUGGCAGGCAAGCCUGCCGAGGAAACAAUGGGUGCGCAAAAAUCAUGGGUAGUAUUCCGACAGGGCGGGGAGAAAAUGCUGAGUAUAUAUCGACAUUGGAGUAGGUAUGAAUCCCUCCGCUAUGGGCAUCAAGCCACCCGCAAUGGAUCUCAAGCAAUUCAAGGCCGGCCCCCGUGAUAUAGCGUUUAAUGAUCCUUCCGCAGGUUCACCUACGGAAA